GUAUAUGGAGGAGGAGCUGCUUUAUAGCGACGUGGGGGGAAGGGUGUGGGAACCUUAGAAGGUGUUCUUAGCGGCCUUGAUAAAGGCGAUGUUGAGGUGAUCCUCAUCGAAGAACCUUGUGUGGUAAACUCAAGCGUAUGUGGUUUGGGUGCCAUCGAUUACAAGCUCGUUCUAGCGCAUAACGAAACGAUGGCGAUGUCACAGGAGUUGUCGCCAAUUUAGAGGGAAGCAUGAUUAGGCUUGCAUCAGUCUACAUACCGUAUGACGCCAUCAACCCUCCUCACAUCACAUUCACAUUCGAAACCUCGUGAAAUAACGCAAAAAUGAGCUCUUAGUAAUCGGAAGCGAUUCAAAUGCCCACCACACUCAAUGGGGCAGUAUAAACAUCAACGAAAGACCACCUGGACCGGACGGCAUCAUCUCUGCACAGCUGCAGAACAGCUUGGAGCUAUAUAUGUAUCCUGUUUAAAACUUAAUCACAUACCACAGACAUGGAGGAAUCAGCCGUCUUCAUCCCCAAAGCAAGAGGCUGCUGUCUAUCAAAAGGGAAAAUAGACAGAAACUGCACUACAUGGACUAAUUACUUUCAUGGAAAGUCCUCUCUUCAACAAGGAAUUCGGUCUUGUUACUUUCAUUGAAAGUCCUCUCUUCAACAAGGAAUUCGGUCUUGUUACUUUCAUUGAAAAUCCUCUCUUCAACAAGGAAUUUGGUCUUGUUGCUUUCCUGGAUAGAAGCGGCUUUCAAUAACAUCUUACCAAGCGCAGUUACAACUGCAUUUCUAUGUUUAGAUGUAGACACUCAAUUAGUGGACUUCAUCAACCAGCUGCUACUAAGCAGGGUUAUAAGCACGAGCCGGGAAGGAUGUCAAGUAUCCAGAUCUGGAAUCGCACAGUAAACUCGUUACUAACGCAAACAGAAUGGAGUGGAGGCAAAGUAAUUGCCUACGCCGAUGACAUCGCCAAUGAAUACAGAGGGAACCCACAGGUACACAUUUCGGAAAUGGCAUAAGAAGAGACCACGAUAUACGAGAGGCGACAAACGACGUCAAAGUCAUGCAUCUAAUGAUGGUUUUAAGUUUUUGUGAUAUCACAAUGGGUCU